rnacentral:tRNA from 1 species
GCCUGGGUGGCUCAGCCGGUUAAGCGUCCGACUUCGGCUCAGGUCAUGACCUCACGGUUCGUGGGUUCGAGCCCCGCGUCAGGCU